AGACCACCUGAAGGUAUUCUUCAAGUAGUCCACUUUGGCGGCAAUCUUCUCCUCGCUGAGAAAUGCGACAGCCUGCAGUGCCUGCCUGAACAUCCCAGAGCCACGGGGCACGCCUAUACCUUGGGCACAUGCCACCAUGGCCCGAACACGCUCCGGGUUGGUGGUGAGCAUCCUCGGCACAGAGACGCACAGCUUGGCAAUAUCACAAUCACCUAG
rnacentral:rRNA from 1 species